GAAGACGCUCCAUGUCACCUCCUACCUGGUUCCUCAGAACCAUUUCUCAACUGCCGAUAUUUCUAAUCAAGGGUCAACAUGAAGACUGCCUGAAGAUGACAUCACCUUUUCCAAGGGGGUUCCUGCUAGAGGAAGUUCUCUUUGAGAUGACAGGGAUUCCGGUGAAGAAGCCAAAACUGGCAUCACACUCUCAUCAUCCAGACUUCACUUCCUUAUUAGGUGGCAGAAGUGUAAUUAAGAUGUUUGGAUCUUUCAGAGGAAACCCAUACUCCACCGGCAUUGUCAAAUAGAUGACUUAUAUAUAAUAGAUAGCGCUGGCUGUAUAGACUCCGGCUUUAUACGUUCCCAUCAAGGCAUAUGAGAGAGAGAAAGAUGAAAGCGAUUUUCACCACACAUGCACACUCCUGUAUUCCACUGACUUUGAGUUGUCAUUUGAUCUGAAAGUAAGGAGAUGAUUUUGACAUCUGCUGCUGAUCAAAGCAUUGGUUGGUGAAUUGUUUGCCUUGUAGUUCUCCAUGUGGCAUCCCCAUCAAAACAGGUAUUUCACACUGUACCUGCUAUUAUCAUUAGUGAAGGUUAAGAUUGUUCCCAAUACACCCGCACA